AGCGAACGCUGGCGGCAGGCCUAACACAUGCAAGUCGAACGAGGUCUUCGGACUUAGUGGCGGACGGGUGAGUAACACGUGGGAACGUACCUUUUGGUUCGGAACAACUCAGGGAAACUUGAGCUAAUACCGGAUGAGCCCUUAGGGGGAAAGAUUUAUCGCCGAAAGAGCGGCCCGCGUUAGAUUAGCUAGUUGGUGAGGUAAAGGCUCACCAAGGCUACGAUCUAUAGCUGGUCUGAGAGGAUGAUCAGCCACACUGGGACUGAGACACGGCCCAGACUCCUACGGGAGGCAGCAGUGGGGAAUCUUGCGCAAUGGGCGAAAGCCUGACGCAGCCAUGCCGCGUGAAUGAUGAUGGUCUUAGGAUUGUAAAAUUCUUUUACCAGGGACGAUAAUGACGGUACCUGGAGAAAAAGCCCCGGCUAACUUCGUGCCAGCCGCCGCCGUAAUAC
rnacentral:rRNA from 1 species